AGUGAACGCUGGCGGUAGGCCUAACACAUGCAAGUCGAACGGCAGCACAGUAAGAGCUUGCUCUUACGGGUGGCGAGUGGCGGACGGGUGAGGAAUACAUCGGAAUCUACUUUUUCGUGGGGGAUAACGUAGGGAAACUUACGCUAAUACCGCAUACGACCUACGGGUGAAAGCAGGGGAUCUUCGGACCUUGCGCGAUUGAAUGAGCCGAUGUCGGAUUAGCUAGUUGGCGGGGUAAAGGCCCACCAAGGCGACGAUCCGUAGCAGGUCUGAGAGGAUGAUCAGCCACACUGGAACUGAGACACGGUCCAGACUCCUACGGGAGGCAGCAGUGGGGAAUAUUGGACAAUGGGCGCAAGCCUGAUCCAGCCAUACCGCGUGGGUGAAGAAGGCCUUCGGGUUGUAAAGCCCUUUUGUUGGGAAAGAAAAGCAGCAGGUUAAUACCCCGCUGUUCUGACGGUACCCAAAGAAUAAGCGCCGGCUAACUUCGUG
rnacentral:rRNA from 1 species